CAGCUCUGGUGCUCACCAAGUCUUGUUCAAUUCCACACUCGGAUCAAAACUCUGGACUUUGAAAUGUUCUCUGCACAAGCCAUGAACCAUCACCAAACUGGCCAUCUUAGUGGAGAUCCACCAGUGUCUUUCUGAGAUCUCUGACCUGGGGUUUCCUGAAGUGCAUCAACAAGAGAACCAUGGUUACUAUGACAACGUCACCAUCAUCGAGUCCAGCAAAGAUCCAUGUGUUUUGGUGAACAUCGCUUUAGAUCCAGCUGAGUGCUUCUGAUUUGACCAGGAAGCAUCAGUCCUGAAGAGUUAAAAAUUUCCACCCAGACUUCCUGAGCCCUAGCAUGAAGCAAGCAACAUUUUAAAACAAUACAUACUGAUAUCUCU